UACGAAGGUGGCGAGCGUUGUUCGGAUUUACUGGGCGUAAAGGGCGCGUAGGCGGUCAGCACAAGUCAAUUGUGAAAUCUCCGAGCUUAACUCGGAAAGGUCAACUGAAACUGUGCGACUAGAGUGCGGAAGGGGCAACUGGAAUUCUUGGUGUAGCGGUGAAAUGCGUAGAUAUCAAGAGGAACACCUGCGGCGAAGGCGGGUUGCUGGGCCGACACUGACGCUGAAGCGCGAAAGCCAGGGGAGCGAACGGG
rnacentral:rRNA from 1 species